rnacentral:lncRNA from 1 species
UAUGUAUAAAUAUGUCCGAACCCUGGUUGCCCCCCUCCAGAUCCAAACACCUCCAAUCCCUUCGUCUCCAUCAAGAACCCUAAAGCACCGCCCUAAUACUCCACCACUUUCCGCCGGCAGCGCCGUCCCCAAACACCUCCAAAACUACACCUUGCAAUCCUCAGCCCCUCCUUGUCCUAAUCCCAAAACAAUCUCACUCAAAUCAUAAUUUAAACCUUUGAAUUUCAUAUCAAAGAUCAGAGUUCCAUGAACCCUAAUCUUUCUCUCCUUGUCAAAAUUCAAGCGGUUCUUGGCCAAUAAUAGGUCGAAGCUUAUGCAGUCGACUCUUCUCCUUGAGAACGAGUGACUAGCAUGGAAUUCGAUUUGUUUCGAAGUCCAUCGGCCUCAAGUUGAAGAUUUAAUGACAAUGGUUAGUUUUGUUGCCGAAUAGUUGUUUGAGCCCUUUUGAAUUUGUUUAUGCUUUUAUUAACUUGGCCUUACCAUGUGUAUUUCCUUCAUAUUACAUUUCAUCUUAAGGUUGAAUUUGGGGUGUUAGUCUGUCGAGUUGGAUGUAUUUGCAGGAAGAAUGCAUCAUGUUAGUUUGUAGUCUACAUGUAUCUGGUUGAAGAGUUAUUCAUGUUUAGGAUAAUAUGCAUAAGUAGAGGAAUAUGAUUUAUGUUAGUUUGAUAUGUGAGUUUUGUCGGAUUUUUCUGAAAAAAUGUUGCCUAUGGUUAUAGUUGAAUACUCAUCAAACCAGUUCAUUCAUUUUGUUUCUUUUAGCAAAUUUGGUUUAGGCUUUGUUUCUCCCUUCAAUUAGCCUAUUGUUAUGCUGAUUUACCCUUUUAUGGCCUGUAAAAUGGCUCAGUUAUUCAGCACUGUCUUGCUCACGUUCAAGUAAUUUAAGUUUGUAAACUAUUUUUGAUUUGAUUCUUAGUUUAAUUUUAGUCCUAAAGGUGUUCAAAUUCAGCUUGGUGUUCACAUCUUGUUGUUUUUUUUUAUAAAAAUGUUUGAAAAAAAUAGAAUCUUUGUUCAAAUGAGUUAGCUGAUGCUUGCUUUCUACUUCUGGGCUUACUCUUAAAGCCAGAUUUCCUCACAAGUACUACCACUAUCGGAUAUUGGAUGUGCAGUUUAUUGGCAUAAUUAGGCUUGAAUCUGCAAGCCAUUUAAAAGCAAACAUUGCUUUAUUUUUAUGACGACCCAAAGGGUCAUCACCUAUUUUUUUAAUCGAAUCAUGUGUCCUCAAGGCCUUGAAAACCUCAUUUAGAGUUGUCUCAUUUUACGUGCACAGUCUGGACGCGUAGCCGAAAAGCUUAAAUAUGAAAUUCUGUGAAAAAUUGCUAAGUUUUGAUGUUAAAAUGAAUAAAUUUGACUUUGGUCAAUAUUUUGGGCAAACGGACCCGGACCCAUGAUUUGACCGUCCCGAAGGGUCUAUAGGAAAAUAUGAGACUUGCACGUAUGUCUAGAAUCGAAUUCCGAGGUCCCGAGCCUGAGAAAUGAAUAUUUUAGAAAAAUUAUUUUUUGGAAAUGUUUAUGAAAAUUGGAAAUGAAAUCUGAUUAGAAAACGAUGGUAUCGGACCCAUAUUUUUGGUUCCGGAGCCCGAUACGGGUCAUAUAUAUGUUCUAAGAUAUUUUCAAAGUGGACGUUGUUUGAGGUAAUCCUGACUUUAAUUGAAAAUUUUGAUGUUUAUGGGAGUGUUGAGAAAUUUUAGUGAUCUUGAGGUUUAAUUCGGUGUUCGUGAUGUUAUUUUGGUGAUUUGAUUACACGAAUAUGUUUGUAGACUAUUUUUGAAGUUGUGUGUAUAUUUGGGUUGGAGUUUCGAGGGCUCGGGUGAGUUUCGGGUAGGUUCCGGGAUGCCUUAGGCUUAGAAAUCAGAUAUUGCAGGUUUAGGAAGUUGCAGUCCUCUGAACCCACUUGUGCGGUCCGCGAGAAAUCGUGUGCGACCAUGAUCGCCUUUGUGCGGUCCACGGUGGAGGCUGUGCGGCCGUAGUCUCCUUUGUACGGUCCGUACAGGGUGUUGAACUGCAGGUCUUCAAGUAGCCUGUGUGGCCACGGUCUAUUUAGUGCAGUCCGCAGAGGGGGUCUCCCAGAGGUAUAAAUAGACGGGAUUUUCAGUUAUUUUUUAUUUUUCAAAAUCCUAAAACAUAAGAGGCGAUUUUUCAAUCAACCUUUCUUCUCCAAAUCAAUUGUAAGUCAUUUUUAUCUAGUUUUCUUCAAUCAUUAACAUCUUUUAACAUGAUUUCAACUUCAAAUUAAAGAUUUUCAUGGAGAAAAAUUGGGUGUUUUGAGUAGAACCUAUGUUUUCCAAAAUUUGGGGAUUUGGACCUGAAUUUGAUGUCCGAUAUCAAAAUAUAUUAUAUAUUUGAAUUCAUAGGGGAAUGGGUAAUCGGGUUUUGGUUCGAACCUCGGGUUUUGGCCACGUGGGCCCGGGGACGAUUUUUGACUUUUUGGGUAAAAUUUUAGAAAACUCAUUUUCAUGCAUUGAGGUUGAUUCACUUAGUGCUUAUUGAUGUAAAUAGGUGAUUUAUGAUUAGAUACGAACGAAUUGGCGGUGGAACUAAUGGGCAAAGCUAUAAUUGAGACGUGAGCUAUGUCUAAGGUAUCGAGGUAAGUGUUUGGUCUAACCUUAGCUUGAGGAAUUAGGAUUUUAGUCCUAUUUGCUAUGUGAUAAUUGUUGAGUACCACAUAUAGGGAUGGUGAUGAGUAUCUAUACGUUGGUGUCUAGCAUGAUCGUGAGUCUUUAUAUUGUGAAUAUCAUGAUUUCAUUGUUUCUUUCAUGCCUUGGUGAUGAUUUCUAUAUGGUGUGAAAAGCUUGUGAAAGAAAUUGUGAACUUUGAACAUCCAGGAUCAUUGGCUUGAGUUAUGUUACAAAUUAUGAAAGUAUAUGAGAUGAUUGAAUCUUUUGGAGCAUUGGCUCAAGUGAUAAAGUAAUUUGUGAAGUCAAACUAAUGAUUUCUAUAUGUUGUGAAAAACUAGCGAAAGGAAUUGUGACCUUUGAACAUCGAGGAGCAUUGGCUCGAAGAUAUUACAAAUUUGUAAAAGUAUAUGAGAUGAUUGAACCCUUUAGAGCGUUAGCUCAAGUGGUAAAAUGGGUUUUGAAGUAAUAGUAAAAGAAAGAGAAUGAGUUAUUACAUUGUUCCCUUUCCGGGUGUUUAUGGCUUUGUGGAUUAUUUUCCUUUCCGAGAUGCUGAGUUUUAUUGAUAUUGUUCCCUUGCCAGGAUUUAAAUGUUAAAUUGUGUUCCCUUGCCCGGAUUUCUAUUAUUACUUAUUUACUCCCUUUUCCCUUUGUUUGUGAUUUUUGUUUGAGUGAGGAAGAGUGUUAAAGCACGAAGGAUGAUGUCGUGUAUUUUUGUAUUGUGAGGAAGAGUGUUAAAGCACGAAGGGUGACGUCGUUCCACACGAUAUACCAUUUCAUGCAGAUUCUAUUGAUUAUAUGUGAGGAAAGAGAGUAAAAGCACGAAGGAUAAUUCCGUGCAUAUUUUUAUUAUAUCAUUGCUUGGUGAGGAUGAGAGUAAAACCACGAAGGGUAAUGCCUUACACAUUUUAUUAUAUCAUUGCUUUGUGAAGAUGAGAGUAAAAGCACGAAGGGUGAUGCCGUGCACUUGUUGCUUUCUGAUUCUUUAUUGAUGUCUAGUUAGUUGCUUUCUUUGUUAUUGGAAUUUUUAUUCGGAGUUGUUAUAUUUCCCAUAUGGGGUUAGGCUAAACACUUACCAGCAUAUGGGGUCAGUUGUGCUGAUUCUACACUCUAUGCUCUUUUGCAAAGAUCCAGGUACCGGACAACAACAUUAGUUGGGGGGCUUCCUCCAAUCCAUCUGGAGAUCCAAGUCAGACCUGCAGGUGUCCGCAGGCCCUGGCGCCUCCCUCUAUCUCUAUUUCCUGUUUCAUUUUCCCUUAUUCAGAAAUAGUGUAUUGUUAUUUCUUCAGACCUUGUAUGUAGUAAUCUUAGACAAUCUGUGACAUUGUGACACAAGGUUUUGGGUGGUUGAGACUUAAGUAACGGUAAUAUUUGCAUAUUUCAGAUGUUUAAUGGUUAUCUUUCGGUUAAUUAUCUAAAAUUCCAUAAUUUUCAUGUUAU